GGUAGUCCACGCCCUAAACGAUGUCAACUAGGUGUUGGGGGAGCAAUCUCUUGGUACCGCAGCUAACGCGUGAAGUUGACCGCCUGGGGAGUACGGUCGCAAGAUUAAAACUCAAAGGAAUUGACGGGGACCCGCACAAGCGGUGGAUGAUGUGGAUUAAUUCGAUGCAACGCGAACAACCUUACCUACCCUUGACAUGUCCGGAAGGCUACUGAAAGGUGGCUGUGCCCGAAAGGGAACUGGAACACAGGUGCUGCAUGGCUGUCGUCAGCUCGUGUCGUGAGAUGUUGGGUUAAG
rnacentral:rRNA from 1 species